rnacentral:rRNA from 1 species
AACGUCCGUAGCCUGUCUGAUACAUUCGUGGGUAAAUCAACCAGCUCAACUGGUUGAAUUCUGCGAGGACGGCCAGACUUGGGACCGGGAGAGGUGUGGGGUACGCUCAGGGUAGGGGUAAAAUCCUGUCAUCCUGAGCGGACCACCUGUUGCGAAGGCGCCACACUAGAACGGAUCCGACGGUCAGGGACGAAGCCUAGGGGCACGAACCGGAUUAGAUACCCGGGUAGUCCUAGGUGUAAACGCUGUGGACUUGAUGUUGGGGAUGCUCCGAGCAUUCUCAGUGCCGAAGCGAAGGUGAUAAGUCCACUGCCUGGGGAGUACGGUCGCAAGGCUGAAACUUAAAGGAAUUGGG